rnacentral:lncRNA from 1 species
AUGUUGCGGAAGGGGAAGGCCUUCUUGGCGUCGACGCCGACGGCGGCCGGGUCGUAGUGGACGAUCUCGACGGUGGCGCCGGCGGCCGCCGCGCACAUCUUGGCCAGGCCGUCGAGCGUCACGCCGCGGUCGCUCACGCAGUUGAAUAUCUUCCCGGCGGCGGCGUCCGGGUUCUCCACGGCGAGCGUGAGCAUGCUUCCCAGGUCCCUCGCGUGCGAGAUGUUGGUCAGCUGCAUCCCCGACCCCGGGAUCGGCACCGGCCGCUUCCGCACAAUUCCUACCAAUUUCAAUCCAAGAAUGAAUGCAAUGUGUUGAUUGCAAAAUGAAUCCAAGAACUAAUUUGUGGGUGAUCGAGCGAGCUGGGCAGAAUGAUUUUUGACUUACUGUCGAAGAACCACUCCUCGCAGUCCUUGUUGUUGCCGGAGCCGGUCAUGUACUGCGGCCGGAACGAGGCCCAGCUGCCGAACUCCGCCGCGAUGUACUUCUCCACGCCGACGUGCCCGGCGCUCUCCUUCACGGCGUCCUGCGAUGCGAGCACCGACGUAGAUGGAAAUGGAAUCACGAUCAUCGGCUACUCGCCUCUGACCAACCGAUGAACAUUGGUCAUGUUGGAUGGAGAUGGAAUGAAUGAUUUACCCCCUCGACGUGCGGCGGCUCGUCGGUUUGGAGGUAGAUCCCGGCGCUGCUGAUGAACAGGAACUGGCCGACCCCGGCCGCCUUGGCCCAGUCCGCCACCGGCCUGCACGCAACCAAGAAUCACAUUGCAUUGCUGACCGAUCUCGUGGCAAGAAACAGAGGCGGUUAACCGUGGAGCGAGCAGAGCAUAGCAUACUUGACGGCGUCGAGGUCCUUGCCGUUGUUGUCGAGCACGACGUCGAAGGACGCAGCGCCGACGGCCGCGCCGACGUCCGCCGGGUCGCCCCACACCGUCUUGGCCCCGGCGCUGGUCAGCUCCUGCAUGCACGCACGCGCCGCACAGAAGACAGAACC